GCCGGCGAUGGCGCGCGUCACCAGCGUGCGCGCGACCUCGUCGUGCGCGGCGAUCGCGUCGCCCGGCGGGAUCGCGCCCGCCGCCAGCGCC
rnacentral:tRNA from 1 species